rnacentral:rRNA from 1 species
UACGAAGGGGGCUAGCGUUGUUCGGAAUUACUGGGCGUAAAGGGCUCGUAGGCGGCCAACUAAGUCAUACGUGAAAUCCCUCGGCUUAACCGGGGAACUGCGUCUGAUACUGGAUGGCUUGAGUUCGGGAGAGGGAUGCGGAAUUCCAGGUGUAGCGGUGAAAUGCGUAGAUAUCUGGAGGAACACCUAUGGCGAAGGCAGCUCGCUGGGACGUUACUGACGCUGAGACGCGAAAGCGUGGGGAGCAAACAGG